GACUAAUUAGCUGUGCCCUAGAUUCUAGGCUCUUGUUUCCUGCUUUAGUGAUCAGCAUGACGUGGGUAGUUUUUCUUCUGUCUGGUUCAAAUUGGAACAAAGCAGCAGAUUAUGAGUAUUAUUUGAGCUAACAUGAACAACUUGCUAAGUCCUCUGACUUCGUCUGGAAGAGAACAAAGGGACUCAUGGCGUAACAGAGCCCUUGAACUAGAACCAUUUACAGAAAAACUGUGUGGAAGAUGGGAGGUGCCCAUAGCACGUGACAAAAUGAAAUUAAUGGAAUGCUCAGCUCCAAAGAAAGUUACAAGAAAAGUGCAUUGACUAAGUCACAGAGAAAUUGAGAAAUUGAGAAAUUGAGAAACCGAGAAAUGCCUGUGUAUCAUUCAAGGACAACCUCUUCAUUAAGAGAACUUAGAGGAAUGCAGUUGACCAAAGACCAUUUUACUGAUAUAGUUUAAGCUUG
rnacentral:lncRNA from 1 species